rnacentral:rRNA from 1 species
CAGGACGAACGCUGGCGGCGCGCCUAACACAUGCAAGUCGAACGGAGCUGUUUUCUCUGAAGUUUUCGGAUGGAAGAGAGUUCAGCUUAGUGGCGAACGGGUGAGUAACACGUGAGCAACCUGCCUUUCAGUUGGGGGGACAACAUUUGGAAACGAAUGCUAAUACCGCAUAAGACCACAGUGUCGCAUGACACAGGGGUCAAAGGAUUUAUCCGCUGAAAGAUGGGCUCGCGUCCGAUUAGCUAGAUGGUGAGGUAACGGCCCACCAUGGCGACGAUCGGUAGCCGGACUGAGAGGUUGAACGGCCACAUUGGGACUGAGACACGGCCCAGACUCCUACGGAGGCAGCAGUGGGGAAUAUUGCACAAUGGGGGAAACCCUGAUGCAGCGACGCCGCGUGGAGGAAGAAGGUCUUCGGAUUGUAAACUCCUGUCCCAGGGGACGAUAAUGACGGUACCCUGGGAGGAAGCACCGGCUAACUACGUG